UAGUCCACGCCGUAAACGAUGGAUACUAGCUGUCCGGAAUCUUGAAUUCUGGGCGGCCAAGCGAAAGUGAUAAGUAUCCCACCUGGGGAGUACGUUCGCAAGAAUGAAACUCAAAGGAAUUGACGGGGGCCCGCACAAGCGGUGGAGCAUGUGGCUUAAUUCGAGGCAACGCGAAGAACCUUACCUGGGUUUGACAUAUAUUUGACCGCUCCCGAAACGGAGCUUCUCUUCGGAGCAGAUAUACAGGUGCUGCAUGGCUGUCGUCAGCUCGUGCCGUGAGGUGUUCGGUUAAGUCCGGCAACGAGCGCAACCCAUAUCAUUAGUUGCCAACAGGUAAUGCUGGGGACUCUAAUGAGACUGCCCGUGUCAAGCGGGAGGAAGGCGUGGACGACGUCAAGUCAGUAUGGCCCUUACACCCAGGGCUGCACACGUGCUACAAUGGCGACUACAGAAGGCAGCAAUACCGCGAGGUGGAGCAAAUCCGAUAAAAGUCGCCCAGUUC
rnacentral:rRNA from 1 species